UACGUAGGAUGCGAGCGUUGUCCGGAAUUAUUGGGCGUAAAGAGAACGUAGGUGGUUUCUUAAGUUCGAUCUUAAAGACCGGGGCUCAACCCCGGGAAUGGAUUGAAAACUGGGAGACUAGAGGAUGUUAGAGGACGGUGGAAUUCCCAGUGUAGCGGUGAAAUGCGUAGAUAUUGGGAGGAACACCAGUGGCGAAAGCGGCCGUCUGGGACAUUCCUGACACUGAGGUUCGAAAGCUCGGGGAGCAAACGAGGAUUAGAAACCCGUAUUAGGAAC
rnacentral:rRNA from 1 species